UUUUGUUAAAGACAACGGCAUGCGUUUAGUUUGGAGUGUUAGAUUCGGCACAACACACCGCUUAUAUGCUUAAGACCUCUAGUUAUGGUGACAUUUACAUGUAGGACAAAGGCAAUGAUUUAAAGCUGAACCAUACACUUUACGUUCUGAGUGACUGUGAGUGAGGACGUAAAGUCAAGAGAAAGCUGUUGUGAGGCAUUUCUAAUUGAGACAGAGGGGGUCUCCUGGCACACAGCAGCAACCUAAAGCAGGUGGGAGAACACACAGCAGCAGUCUGCCUGUCUCCACGAUGCAGUGAGUGUCGAUCAAUGUUGGAGAAGAAAAAUGAAAACAGCGUGUCAGAUGGAGGACAUUUUCUGACAGCACAACUGCACAACUGCAAAGAACUCAUGUAAAUACAUGGUUUGUUGUUUGGUUUUCAUAUGUGCUUUUCAGUUCCAGGUGGACCUCAUUUAUUACCUUGAAAAUCUGUUUUAAAUGUUCAAAGACAAGCAGCUUAACAUUUUAAGAGAUAUGAUUUUCAGGUUUCUAUUUACUCUUAGACAGCUGGUAAUCAAGAAUGCAAAGAAAUAUCAUUUAUGUUUUGAAGAAGUGUUAGCUCUCACUUAAUACCAUUAUGUCUUUAUUAGAAUUCAGCAGUAAGAGUUAGUAAGACAAAUUAUUCUAUUGGUAAGCUAUGAAAUGCCUUGGCAAACUAAGCGUGUGACCAAACUAAAGCGUGUUUUUUACAAUAUUGGAAUUCAUGAAGUGAGUCACUUUUGGGGGCUGAUUGGAAACUUGAAUAAGUAAUUCUAUGUUGUCUUCAGGGAUACCAAAAUCACUUGGUCUGGCUUGUUAUAAAAUUAUGAAUGAAAUAUUUGUCUAUAAUAAAAUAACAACAUGAA